UUGAUAAGUAGUGCAUAGAUAAUAGUGCUAUGUAUGUAUUUAAGACCUAGUUGUAACGGUUUUUUUUACUUAGUACGUCUUCACAAAUUGAGGAGAAAAAAACAAUUGUUCCAUAAAAUGACUACAUUUUAUAGUUUUUUCUUACUUCUGGUAAUGGUGGCUGCCACUUCAGCUACGAAUUGUUUUCUCGGUAACUUCGGUUGUGCCGUUCACUGCAUCUUUCGAGGAUAUUGGUAUGGUGGGCAAUGCUCCGGAGAGCUUUGUUAUUGCAAUUAAUUAUACCGGCUUGACAGAUGAUUAUACAACUAUUCGAUGAUUUUGUAAAUUUAUUAACAUUAUCAUUUCAUAAUAAUUAGCACAAAAAACAUAUUGUCUCCCA